GACGAACGCUGGCGGCGUGCCUAACACAUGCAAGUCGAACGGGGUGAGGCCCUUCGGGACCUUUACCUAGUGGCGAACGGGUGAGUAACGCGUGAGGAACCUGCCUUUCAGUGGGGGACAACAGUUGGAAACGACUGCUAAUACCGCAUGAAGCUUUUGGGAGACAUCUUCUGGAAGCCAAAGCUUAAUGUGCUGAAAGAUGGCCUCGCGUCUGAUUAGCUAGUUGGUGGGGUAACGGCCCACCAAGGCGACGAUCAGUAGCCGGUCUGAGAGGAUGAACGGCCACAUUGGGACUGAGAUACGGCCCAGACUCCUACGGGAGGCAGCAGUGGGGAAUAUUGGGCAAUGGGCGAAAGCCUGACCCAGCAACGCCGCGUGAAGGAAGAAGGCCUUCGGGUUGUAAACU
rnacentral:rRNA from 1 species